rnacentral:rRNA from 1 species
AAAUAAAAAAUUAUUAAUUAUAUUUAGUAAAAAAGGUUUUUAAUAUAAAUAAAUUUAAUUUAAAUAUUUUUUGUAUUAUUUAAAGAUAAAAUAAUUUUUAUUAUAGUAAAGUAGUAUUGAUAAAGAAUUUUGAAAAAUUUAUUAUUUAGUUGAAAGUAAUAUUUAUUUUAUGUACCUUUUGUAUCAGGGUUUAUUAAUUAAAGAUUAUGGAGCUUAUGAUUCUCGAAUUUAAAGGAGCUAGUUUAAUAUGAUAGUUUAUGUAUUAUAAUAAUUAUAAAUAUUGAAUUAGAAAUGAAAUGUUAUUCGUCUUUUAAGAUAUCUAGUUUUUUAAGAAAUAAAUUUAAUUUACAUAUUAAUAAUAUAAUAUUUUUUAUUUAAAAAUUAAUUAUUUGUUAAUAUGAAUAUAUUAAGGGAUAAGCUUUAAUUUAUUAGAUUAUAAUUUUAUAAAUUUAAUAAUUAAUUGUAGAUUUAGAAAUAGUUAUCAAUAAAAAUUUUGUAUUAAUUUAUAAAGAUUAUUUAAUGUUUUAUAAAAUUUAAUUUUAGUAUUAAAAUAUAUUUUUUAAUAAUAAAAAAGUAGAAAUAAUGAUGAAAUUAGUAUAUAUUAUUUAUUUAGUUUGUAAUUUAAGUAAAAUUAAUUUAAGGAAUUCGGCAAAAUAAUAUUCACCUGUUUAACAAAAACAUGUCUUUUAGAAAAUAAUUUAAAGUCUAACCUGCCCACUGAAUAAUUUUGAAGGGCCGCAGUAUUUUGACUGUGCAAAGGUAGCAUAAUCAUUAGUCUUUUAAUUGAAGGCUUGUAUGAAUGGUUGGAUGAAAUAUUAACUGUCUCAAAUUAAUAAUUUAGAAUUUAAUUUUUAAGUCAAAAAGCUUAAAUAAAAUUAGAGGACGAGAAGACCCUAUAGAUCUUUAUAUUUUUAUUUUUAAUUUUUAUUUAGAAUAAAAAAUAUUUUUAAUAAUAAUAGUAUUUUAUUGGGGUGAUAAUUAAAUUUAGUUAACUUUAUUUAAUAAAAACAUUAAUUUAUGAAUAAUUGAUCCACUAUUAGUGAUUAUAAGAUUAAGUUACCUUAGGGAUAACAGCGUAAUUUUUUUAGAGAGUUCUUAUCGAUAAAAAAGUUUGCGACCUCGAUGUUGAAUUAAAGAUUAAUUUAGGUGCAGUAGUUUAAAUGUUUGGUCUGUUCGACCAUUAAAUCUUUACAUGAUUUGAGUUCAAACCGGCGUGAGCCAGGUUGGUUUCUAUCCUUAAUAAAAUAAAAUAUUUUAGUACGAAAGGACCAAAUAUUUAAAAAAGUUUUUUUUUUGUAAGAAUAUUAUUAAU